CGAACGCUGGCGGCGUGCUUAACACAUGCAAGUCGAACGGUUAAACCGGCUUCGGCCGGACAUACAGUGGCGAACGGGUGAGUAACACGUGACCAACCUGCCCCGCGCUCCGGGACAGCCCCCCGAAAGGGGGAUUAAUACCGGGUACUCCGGGAGGGGCGCAUGCCCCGCCCGGGAAAGCCCAGGCGGCGCGGGAUGGGGUCGCGGCCCAUCAGGUAGUAGGCGGGGUAGAGGCCCGCCUAGCCGACGACGGGUAGCCGGGUUGAGAGACCGACCGGCCACAUUGGGACUGAGAUACGGCCCAGACUCCUACGGGAGGCAGCAGUGGGGAAUAUUGCGCAAUGGGGGAAACCCUGACGCAAGCAACGCCGCGUGCGGGAUGACGGCCCUCGGGUUGUAAACCGCUUUCAGCAGGGAAGACAUCGACUGUACCUGCAGAAGAAGCCCCGGCUAACUACGUGCCAGCCGCAGC
rnacentral:rRNA from 1 species